AUUGAACGCUGGCGGCAUGCCUUACACAUGCAAGUCGAACGGCAGCGCGGGGCAACCUGGCGGCGAGUGGCGAACGGGUGAGUAAUAUAUCGGAACAUGCCCAGAAGUGGGGUAUAACGUAGCGAAAGUUACGCUAAUACCGCAUACGAUCUACGGAUGAAAGUGGGGGACCGCAAGGCCUCAUGCUUUUGGAGUGGCCGAUAUCUGAUUAGCUAGUUGGUGGGGUAAAGGCCUACCAAGGCGACGAUCAGUAGCUGGUCUGAGAGGACGACCAGCCACACUGGAACUGAGACACGGUCCAGACUCCUACGGGAGGCAGCAGUGGGGAAUUUUGGACAAUGGGGGGCAACCCUGAUCCAGCAAUGCCGCGUGUGUGAAGAAGGCCUUCGGGUUGU
rnacentral:rRNA from 1 species